rnacentral:rRNA from 1 species
ACUCCUAGGGAGGCAGCAGUGGGGAAUAUUGGACAAUGGGCGCAAGCCUGAUCCAGCCAUGCCGCGUGAGUGAUGAAGGCCCUAGGGUUGUAAAGCUCUUUCACCGGUGAAGAUAAUGACGGUAACCGGAGAAGAAGCCCCGGCUAACUUCGUGCCAGCAGCCGCGGUAAUACGAAGGGGGCUAGCGUUGUUCGGAUUUACUGGGCGUAAAGCGCACGUAGGCGGACUAUUAAGUCAGGGGUGAAAUCCCGGGGCUCAACCCCGGAACUGCCUUUGAUACUGGUAGUCUUGAGUUCGAGAGAGGUGAGUGGAAUUCCGAGUGUAGAGGUGAAAUUCGUAGAUAUUCGGAGGAACACCAGUGGCGAAGGCGGCUCACUGGCUCGAUACUGACGCUGAGGUGCGAAAGCGUGGGGAGCAAACAGGAUUAGAAACCCCUGUAGUCCC